UGGAAGACUAGUGAUUUUGUUGUUGUAAAUUCAUGUUUUUGACAACAGAGUCACAGUCUACCUCG
ensembl:miRNA